GACAGAGGAGGCAAGCGUUGUUCGGAAUCACUGGGCUUAAAGCGCGUGUAGGCGGCGGCGCAAGUGUCGUGUGAAAUCCCACGGCUCAACCGUGGAACUGCACGGCAAACUACGUCGCUUGAGGUUGGUAGAGGUGCCUGGAACUCUCGGUGGAGCGGUGAAAUGCGUUGAUAUCGAGAGGAACGCCGGAAGCGAAAGCGAGGCACUGGGCCGAUUCUGACGCUGAGACGCGAAAGCGUGGGGAGCAAACAGG
rnacentral:rRNA from 1 species